AGUGAACGCUGGCGGUAGGCCUAACACAUGCAAGUCGAACGGCCGCACAGGAGAGCUUGCUCUCUGGGUGGCGAGUGGCGGACGGGUGAGGAAUACAUCGGAAUCUACUUUUUCGCGGGGGAUAACGCAGGGAAACGUACGCUAAUCCCGCAUAUGAACUAAGGGUGAAAGUGGGGGACCGCAAGGCCUCACGCGAUUAGAUGAGCCGAUGUCCGAUUAGCUAGUUGGCGGGGUAAUGGCCCACCAAGGCGACGAUCGGUAGCUGGUCUGAGAGGAUGAUCAGCCACACUGGAACUGAGACACGGUCCAGACUCCUACGGGAGGCAGCAGUGGGGAAUAUUGGACAAUGGGCGCAAGCCUGAUCCAGCCAUACCGCGUGAGUGAAGAAGGCCUUCGGGUUGUAAAGCCCUUUUGUUGGGAAAGAAAUCCUGUCGAUGAAUACUCGGUGGGGAUGACGGUACCCAAAGAAUAAGCACCGGCUAACUUCGUG
rnacentral:rRNA from 1 species